rnacentral:tRNA from 2 species
GCGGGAAUAGCUCAGUUGGUAGAGCAUAACCUUGCCAUGGUUAGGGUCGCGGAUUCGAGCUCCGUUUCCCGCUCCA